rnacentral:rRNA from 1 species
AGAUUAAUCAUCUACCAUUAUACGUUGAAUACAUAGGCGUAUAAGGCGACACCUGCUGAACUGAAACAUCUUAGUAAGCAGAGGAAAAUAAAUCAAAGAGAUUCCCUAAGUAGCGGCGAGCGAAAGGGGAGAAGACCAAACCACAUUUUUAAUGUGGGGUUGUAGGGUCGAUAACAUGGGAUCUUAAGUUUUAGUUGAAUACUUCUGGAAAGUAGAACGAUACAGGGUGAUAGUCCCGUAGACGAAAAAACAAGAGACUCUAUUCGAUACCUGAGUAGGGCUAGACACGUGAAACCUAGUCUGAAUCUGGGGAGACCACUCUCCAAGUCUAAAUACUAGUCAAUGACCUAUAGUGAACCAGUACUGUGAAGGAAAGGUGAAAAGAACCCUUGUUAAGGGAGUGAAAUAGAACCUGAAACCAGUAGCUUAUAAGCGGUCGAAGACCUAUAACUUCUUAGGAAGUCAUGGUUGACGGCGUGCCUUUUGCAUGAUGAGCCAGGGAGUUAAGUUAAACGGCGAGGUUAAGGGAUUUACAUUCCGGAGCCGAAGCGAAAGCGAGUUUUAAAAGAGCGUUUAGUCGUUUGAUUUAGACACGAAACCAAGUGAGCUAUUUAUGACCAGGUUGAAGCAUGGGUAAGACCUUGUGGAGGACCGAACCAGUACAUGUUGAAAAAUGUUUGGAUGAGUUGUGAAUAGGGGUGAAAGGCCAAUCAAACUUGGAGAUAUCUUGUUCUCUCCGAAAUAACUUUAGGGUUAGCCUCGGAUAUUAAGCUUUUGGGGGUAGAGCACUGAAUUCUAGCGGGGGCCUACCGGCUUACCAACGGAAAUCAAACUCCGAAUACCAAAAGCGAGUCCGGGAGAUAGACAGCGGGGGCUAAGCUUCGUUGUCGAGAGGGGAACAGCCCAGACCGCCGAUUAAGGUCCCAAAUUUUAUGCUAAGUGAGUAAGGAAGUGAUGAUUCUAAGACAGUUGGAAUGUUGGCUUAGAGGCAGCAAUCAUUUAAAGAGUGCGUAACAGCUCACCAAUCGAGAAUCAUUGCGCCAAUAAUAAUCGGGGCUCAAGCAUAAAACCGAAAUCGCGGGUGUAUAUUUAUAUAUACGCGGUAGGAGAGCGUAGUAUUCAGCAGUGAAGGUAUACCGUAAGGAGUGCUGGAGCGGAUACUAGUGAAGAUCCAUGGCAUAAGUAACGAUAAAGGAAGUGAAAAUCUUCCUCGCCGUAAGCACAAGGUUUCCAGGGUCAAGCUCGUCUUCCCUGGGUUAGUCGGCCCCUAAGUCGAGGCACAAAUGCGUAGACGAUGGAGCAACAGGUUAAAUAUUCCUGUACCACCUAAAACUUUAGCAAUGGAAUGACGGAGUACGUUAAGCACGCGGACGAUUGGAAAUGUCCGUAUCACAAUGAGACCGGUUAGUAGGCAAAUCCGCUAACAUAAGGUUAGGUUGUGGUUAAGGGAAAUCUUCGGAGGAACUGAUAGUGUGGCGCAAGGCUUUCAAGAAAUAAUUUCUAGCUGUUGAUGGUGACCGUACCUAAACCGACACAGGUGUGCGAGAUGAGUAUUCUAAGGCGCGCGAGAUAACUUUCGUUAAGGAACUCGGCAAAUUAUCCCCGUAACUUCGGAAGAAGGGGAGCCUCUUAGGGUGAUUGCCUUUACGGCAUGAGCUCCGGGGGGCCGCAGAGAAAUGGCCCAGGCGACUGUUUAACAAAAACACAGCACUAUGCAAACCUCUAAGGGGAAGUAUAUGGUGUGACGCCUGCCCAAUGC